rnacentral:rRNA from 1 species
ACUCAAAUGAAUUGACGGGUCCCCGCACAAGCAGCGGAGCGUGUGGUUUAAUUCGAUGCAACGCGAAGAACCUUACCUGGGUUUGACAUGGGUUCGCAACUGUGUGAAAGCGCAGCCUCUUCGGACGGACUCACAGAUGUUGCAUGGCUGUCGUCAGCUCGUGUCGUGAGAUGUUGGGUUAAGUCCCUCAACGAGCGCAACCCUUAUUUCUAGUUAGAUGAUCUAGAGAGACUGCCGGAAACAAACCGGAGGAAGGCGGGGAUGAUGUCAAGUCAGCAUGACUCUUACACCCAGGGCUACACACACGCUACAAUGGAGGGUACAAUGAGAAGCCACCCCGUGAGGGGGAGCAGACCUCAAAAAGCUCUCCUCAGUUCAGAUUGCACUCUGCAACCCGAGUGCAUGAAGUCGGAGUUGCUAGUAACCGCGUGUCAGCAUAGCGCGGUGAAUAUGUUCCCGGGGAUUGCACACACCGCCCGU